ACUCAAAUGAAUAGACGGGGGCCCGCACAAGCGGUGGAACAUGUGGUUUAAUUCGACACUACGCGAGGAACCUUACCUAGGCUUGACAUGCUUUUGACAAGCGUAGAAAUACGCCUUUUUUGGCUUCGGUCAGAACAAUUGCACAGGUGCUGCAUGGCUGUCGUCAGCUCGUGUCGUGAGAUGUUGGGUUAAGUCCUCUAACGAGCGCAACCCCUGCCAUCAGUUGCUAGUUACGUGAGUAACGCACUCUGAUGGGACUGCCUGGGAAACCAGGAGGAAGGUGGGGAUGACGUCAAGUCCUCAUGGCCCUUAUGCCUAGGGCAACACACGUGUUACAAUGGUUGGUACAAAGGGUUGCAAGCUUGUAAAAGUAAGCUAAUCCCAAAAAGCCAAUCUAAGUUCAGAUUGAGGUCUGCAACUCGACCUCAUGAAGUUGAAAUCGCUAGUAAUCGUAUAUCAGAAUGAUACGGUGAAUACGUUCUCGGGCCUUGUACACACCGCCCGU
rnacentral:rRNA from 1 species